rnacentral:rRNA from 1 species
CUACGGGAGGCAGCAGUGGGGAAUAUUGCACAAUGGGCGCAAGCCUGAUGCAGCCAUGCCGCGUGUAUGAAGAAGGCCUUCGGGUUGUAAAGUACUUUCAGCGGGGAGGAAGGGAGUAAAGUUAAUACCUUUGCUCAUUGACGUUACCCGCAGAAGAAGCACCGGCUAACUCCGUGCCAGCAGCCGCGGUAAUACGGAGGGUGCAAGCGUUAAUCGGAAUUACUGGGCGUAAAGCGCACGCAGGCGGUUUGUUAAGUCAGAUGUGAAAUCCCCGGGCUCAACCUGGGAACUGCAUCUGAUACUGGCAAGCUUGAGUCUCGUAGAGGGGGGUAGAAUUCCAGGUGUAGCGGUGAAAUGCGUAGAGAUCUGGAGGAAUACCGGUGGCGAAGGCGGCUUCCUGGACCGACAUUGACGCUGAGACGCGAAAGCGUGGGGAGCAAACAGGAUUAGAUACCCCAGUAGUC